GGCCUCCCGAUGUUUACCACAGGUUGUGCUCUUUACACUGACUGUAUAGAAGAGGAGGUACAGUAUAUGCUCCCCAUAUACCCUCAAACCAGCCCCUUUGCCUGGUCUAUAUUGUAAAUGGGGGACAAAA